GAAAUGCGAUAAGUAAUGUGAAUUGCAGAAUUCAGUGAAUCAUCGAAUCUUUGAACGCACAUUGCGCCCGCCAGUAUUCUGGCGGGCAUGCCUGUUCGAGCGUCAUUUCAACCAUCAAGCCCCGGGCUUGUGUUGGGGACCUGCGGCUGCCGCAGGCCCUGAAAGGCAGUGGCGGGCUCGCUGUCACACCGAGCGUAGUAGCAUACAUCUCGCUCUGGGCGUGCUGCGGGUUCCGGCCGUUAAACCACCUUCGUAACCCAAGGUUGACCUCGGAUCAGGUAGGAAGACCCGCUGAACUUAAGC
rnacentral:misc_RNA from 1 species